GACGAACGCUGGCGGCGUGCCUAAUACAUGCAAGUAGAACGCUGAAGGAGGAGCUUGCUUCUCUGGAUGAGUUGCGAACGGGUGAGUAACGCGUAGGUAACCUGCCUGGUAGCGGGGGAUAACUAUUGGAAACGAUAGCUAAUACCGCGUAAGAGUAGAUGUUGCAUGACAUUUGCUUAAAAGGUGCAAUUGCAUCACUACCAGAUGGACCUGCGUUGUAUUAGCUAGUUGGUGGGGUAACGGCUCACCAAGGCGACGAUACAUAGCCGACCUGAGAGGGUGAUCGGCCACACUGGGACUGAGACACGGCCCAGACUCCUACGGGAGGCAGCAGUAGGGAAUCUUCGGCAAUGGACGGAAGUCUGACCGAGCAACGCCGCGUGAGUGAAGAAGGUUUUCGGAUCGUAAAGCUCUGUUGUAAGAGAAGAACGAGUGUGAGAGUGGAAAGUUCACACUGUGACGGUAUCUUACCAGAAAGGGACGGCUAACUACGUG
rnacentral:rRNA from 1 species